rnacentral:rRNA from 1 species
GAUGAACGCUGGCGGCGUGCCUAACACAUGCAAGUCGAGCGAAGCGAGGACGGGUGAGUAACACGUCGAUAACCUCCUAGAAGGAGGGGGUAACUUCGGGAAACCGGAGCCAAACCGGCUAAUUAUAGAUGGAUGCUCGGGGCAUUAGCUAGUUGGUAGGGUAACGGCUUACCAAGGCAACGAUGCAUAGCCGACCUGAGAGGGUGAUCGGCCACACUGGAACUGAGACACGGUCCAGACUCCUACGGGAGGCAGCAGUAGGGAAUCUUGCGCAAUGGGCGAAAGCCUGACGGAGCAAUGCCGCGUGAGUGAAGAAGGUCUUCGGAUUGUAAAACUCUGUUAUUAGGGAAGCGGUACCUAAUCAGAAAGCCACGGCUAACUACGUGCCAGCAGCCGCGGUAAUAC